AGACGUCAAUCAUCAUGCCCCUUAUGUCCUGGGCUACACACGUAAUACAAUGGCGGUCAACAGAGGGAUGCAAAACCGUAAGGUGGAGCGAACCCCUAAAAGCCGUCUCAGUUCAGAUUGUGGGCUGCAACCCGCCCACAUGAAGUCGGAAUCGCUAGUAAUCGCGGAUCAGCAUGCCGCGGUGAAUACGUUCCCGGGCCUUGUACACACCGCCCGUCACACCAUGAGAGUCGGGAACACCCGAAGUCCGUAGCCUAACCGUAAGGAGGGCGCGGCCGAAGGUGGGUUCGAUAAUUGGGGUGAAGUCGUAACAAGGGUAACCGUAA
rnacentral:rRNA from 1 species